rnacentral:rRNA from 1 species
GAACCUACGGGACGCAGCAGUGGGGGAUAUUGCACAAUGGGGGAAACCCUGAUGCAGCGACGCCGCGUGUGGGAAGACGGUCCUCUGGAUUGUAAACCACUGUCCCCAGGGACGAAAAUGACGGUACCUGGGGAGGAAGCUCCGGCUAACUACGUGCCAGCAGCCGCGGUAAUACGUAGGUGGCGAGCGUUGUCCGGAUUUACUGGGUGUAAAGGGCGUGUAGCCGGGCUGACAAGUCAGAUGUGAAAUCCGGGGGCUCAACCCCCGAACUGCAUUUGAAACUGUUGGUCUUGAGUAUCGGAGAG